AGAGACAGCAGUCGCCGCGGGAAUACAGAGGGUGCAAGCGUUAAUCGGAAUUACUGGGCGUAAAGGGUGCGUAGGCGGUUUGGCAAGUUUGGUGUGAAAUCUUCGGGCUCAACUCGAAGCCUGCAUCGAAAACUGCCGGGCUUGAGUAUGGGAGAGGUGAGUGGAAUUUCCGGUGUAGCGGUGAAAUGCGUAGAUAUCGGAAGGAACACCUGUGGCGAAAGCGGCUCACUGGACCAUAACUGACGCUGAUGCACGAAAGCUAGGGGAGCAAACAGGAUUAGAUACCCGCGUAGUCCCUGUCUCUUAUAC
rnacentral:rRNA from 1 species